AGGUACAUGGCAGUAGGUACAAGUAGGUACAUGGCAGUAGGUACAAGUAGGUACAUGGCAGUAGGUACAAGUAGGUACAUGGCAGUAGGUAGAAGUAGGUACAUGGCAGUAGGUACAAGUAGGUACAUGGCAGUAGGUACAAGUAGGUACAUGGCAGUAGGUACAUGGCAGUAUGUCGUUGAAGGUACAUAGUAGUAGGUAGAAGUAGAUACCUGGCAGUAGGUACAAGUAGGUACCUGGCAGUAGGUACAAGUAGGUACCUGGCAGUAGGUAAAAGUAGGUACCUGGCAGUAGGUAAAAGUAGGUACCUGGCAGUAGGUAAAAGUAGGUACCUGGCAGUAGGUAAAAGUAGGUACCUGGCAGUAGGUAAAAGUAGGUACCUGGCAGUAGGUACCUGGCAUAUAUGUAUUGAUUUAGAAUGGACCAUAUCCAUAUCUUGUCUCAGAACGGGCAGGAGAAAAAAAUAGAUGCAUUUGAAUAGAGAAUGGAGGAUGCGUUUCCCCUGGUUCAUUCUCAUGCCAGCCAGGUAGGCUAUACUCCUGUUGUAAAGAGAAGCAAUGUGCUUAAUAUCAGGAACGUUCUUAAAUAAAUAUAGUAGGCUUAGCCUAUAGAAAGCUGAUGGGUUCCUCCUAUUUUUAAUAGAGGUCAUCACUCUGUAUUCUUACAUAAUGACAUACCCUAUAGAAACGUUGCUCCACUUGAGCUCAUGGGCUCUCAUGAAGUGUUUGAUUUGAUUUUACAUUGAUGUCAGAGUGAUUAGAGGCACAAUAAAAUGCUGAGUACCAGGUAGUUAGCAAGUUUAGUUGGUUAACAAUCACCAGCAGCAGAGCUUGGAGAUGCCUAAUUACCGUGACGUGGAAUUUGACUGCCGGUAAUGGUAACCGUAACAGCCCUAACGAGGCCCCACCUGGCAGAGAGACGCUAUGCUAAGAUGCCCUGACUACUGUAGGCUUUUGGUCCAGCUAUAUAACAGUCCUGAUUCAACUGAUUGAGAUCUAUGAUUAUAGUCAUUUAGCAGACACUUUCAUCCAGAGAAAUUGAGGCUGAAGUUCCUUGCUCUGGAAUUCGAACCAGCUGGACCAAAAGCACACAGUGCCUUUUGGACCUAAGUAGCUCCUCCUGCCCAAAACAUUUCUGCCCUCCUUCCACUCUACUAUCUAUCCCACAAUCCUUUGCUCUUGAUUCUCUGUCAACCAAUUAAGUCCUCUGCUACACUCUUUCUGAAAGACAAUUCCUCAAAUUGUUUAGAUUAAUGAUUUAUUUUAUUCAUCAUGAAAUAAUGUAAAGUUGUAUCAUUUUUGACUGAAUAUUUAAUGUUCUAGCUGGUGUUAUAGGUGAUAUAAUGUGUUAGUGCUGGAGAGAUUGAAUAUGUCCGUAAACAGCCAGCUGGUCUGCGCAGGCUCUGAGGACGUGGCUGGGGAUGCCGUCUGGGCACUAACACAUUAUAUCACCUAUAACACCAGCUAGAGGGAGGAAAAUGGUUUAAUUGUUUUUCUCUCAUUAAUCUACACACAAUACCCCAUAAUGACAAAGCAAAAACAGAUUUUUUUGAAAUGUAUAAAAAAAAUGUAAAAAAAUAUCACAUUUACAUAAGUAUUCAGACCCUUUACUCAGUACUUUGUUGAAGCACCUUUGGCAGGUUUUCAUCAAGGAUCUCUCUGUACUUUGCAUCGCAUCGUUCAUCUUUCCCUUGAUCUUUUCCCUCCCAGUCCCUGCCGCUGAAAAACAUCCCCACAGCAUGAUGCUGCUCAGUUUGGCCGGGCGGACAGAUCUAGGAAGAGUCUUUGUGGUUCCAAACUUCUUUGAUUUAAUGAUGGAGGCCACUGUGUUCUUGGGGACCUUCAAUACUGCAGACAUUUUUUGGUACCCUUCCCCCAGAUCUGUACCUCAUCACAAUCCUCUCUGAGCUCUACGGACAAUUUCUUUGACCUCAUGGCUUGGUUUUUGCUCUGACAUGCACUGUCGACUGUGGGACCUUAUAUAGCCAGGUGUGUUUCUUUCCAAAUCAUGUCCAAUCAAUUGAAUUUACCACAGGUGGACUCCAGUCAAGUUAUAGAAACAUCUCAAGGAUGAUUAAUGGAAACAGGAUGCACCUGAGUUCAAUUUCGAGUCUCAUAGCAAAGGGUCUGAAUACUUAUGUAAAUAAGGUUUUUAACUUUGUGAUUAUGGGCUAUUGUGAUGUCAUUAUGGGGUAUUGUGUGUAGAUUAAUGAGGGAAAUGUUUUAUUUAAUCCAUUUUUAGAAUAAGGCUGUAACGUUACAAAAUGUGGAAAAAGUCAAGAGGUCUGAAUACUUUGUAUCAUACAGUGAAAAAUAAUUGUCAAAUAAAAAGGUUCAGCCCAGGUUCACAUACUGCACAAAGGUACGGCUGAGAUCCCACCUAGGUCCCCGGCCAAGAGAUGGGCCAGAUACAGGCUGCCCUACAGACCUUACAUGGGGCCAUGGCUGAGAUCCCACCUAGGUCCCCGGCCAAGAGGUGGGCCAGAUACAGGCUGCCCUACAGACCUUACAUGGGGCCAUGGCUGAGUUCCCACCUAGAUCCCCGGCCAAGAGGUGGGCCAGAUACAGGCUGCCCUACAGACCUUACAUGGGGCCAUGGCUGAGAUCCCACCUAGGUCCCCGGCCAAGAGGUGGGCCAGAUACAGGCUGCCCUACAGACCUUACAUGGGGCCAUGGCUGAGAUCCCACCUAGGUCCCCGGCCAAGAGGUGGGCCAGAUACAGGCUGCCCUACAGACCUUAAAUGGGACCACAAUUAACCAGCUAUACAAAAAUCUAAACGCAACGCGCAAGAAUUUCAAAGAUUUUACUGAGUUACAGUUCAUAUGAGGAAAUCAGUCAAUUUAAAUAAAUUCAUUAGGCCCUAAUCUAUGGAUUUCACAUGAGUGGGAAUACAGAUAUGCAUCUGUUGGUCAGAUACCUUUUAAAAAAGGUAGGGGCGUGGAUCAGAAAACCAGUCAGUAUCUGGUGUCAACAACAUUUACCUCGUAGAGUUGAUCAGGCUGUUGAUUGUGGAAUGUUGUCCCACUCCUCUUCAUUGGCUGUGCAAAGUUGCUGGAUAUUGGGGGGAACUGGAACACGCUGUCGUACAUGUCGAUCCAGAGCAUCCCAAACAUGCUCAAUGGUUGACAUGUCUGGUGAGUAUGUAGGCCAUGGAAGAACUGGGACAGAUCCUUGCGACAUGGAGCUGUGCAUUAUCAUGCUGAAACAUGAGGUGAUGGUGGCGGAUGAAUGGCACUGUUACGUUCCCCAGAUUAUGUGUUGUAGAUUGUGUAUUUGCAUGUGUUUAUUUCAGGAAAUGGCUUCCUGAAAUCCCUCAAGCAGCUGAUUGGUUGACUCCAGGGCUAAUUGGAGAGCUGACCCCGCCCCCUCGUCAAGACACAGCUGUCUCCAAUUACCCAUUCCUUCUGAAGCUAUAUAAAAGCCAGUGUUCUGUUCAGGAGGGAGAUCUUUUUGGAGGUAGAGAUUUUGCUGGAGGUAGGGAUUGCUGAGAUUGAUUGUGAUAGAGGUUGAUUUUGAUAGAGGUUGAUUUUGCUGGAAAGUGGUAUGUUCUGUGAGUUUGUUGCUCAGAUAGAGCUUAUUUGACAUCCUUUUGUUUCUUAGUUUGUUUGAAAUUGUUUAAUAUUCUGUUUCAUUUGUUCCCAGGGGGGAAGGGGAAGGCACCUAGGGAGUGCUUAGGCAAGAGGCCCGCGGGCAUACAUAUACCCAUAGCAUAUUCACUGUCUAGACACACUAGGUAAGACCUGGGCGGACCACCCCUUGUAUUUUGGUUAGGGCACCAGGUGGUGCUAAAUUAUGUAAGUAGUGGGUAGGCAGGUAAGAUAGGAGAGGGGGGGGGCUUUGAGAUUUACUUUCUUUGCUUUGGUUCCGUCCAGCCCCUUUUCCCCAUAUUACCGUGUAAAGGAAUAAAGUCCUUGGAAACGG
ensembl:lncRNA